rnacentral:rRNA from 1 species
GUACACGCUGUGACUAGCAUAUCAAUAAGCGGAGGAAAAGAAACUAACAAGGAUUCCCCUAGUAACGGCGAGUGAAGCGGGAAGAGCUCAAAUUUGAAAUCUUAAAGGGUUUCCCUUUACGAAUUGUAGUUUAAAGAAGUGUUUUCUGUUGAGGUUUUGGUAAAAGUUCUUUGGAAUAGGACAUCAUAGAGGGUGAGAAUCCCGUAUUUGACCUUUACUUUCAACUUUGUGAUACACUUUCAAAGAGUCGGAUUGUUUGGGAAUGCAGUCCAAAAUGGGUGGUAAAUUUCAUCUAAAGCUAAAUAUUGGCGAGAGACCGAUAGCGAACAAGUACCGUGGGGGAAAGAUGAAAAGAACUUUGAAAAGAGAGUUAAAGCAGUACGUGAAAUUGUCAAAAGGGAAGCGUUUGACACCAGUGUUGUUUUUCUGAAAAUCAAUUAAAGAACUGUUUAUGCUAAGUUGUUUAGACUUUAUCAGCUAACUGUUUAGUUUUGAGCUUUUCUUUAAUGCACUUUUCAGUUAACAAGUCAACAUCAAUUUCUUUUGCUGUAAAAAAGCUUGAGGAAGGUGGCUUGAGAUUCGUCUUAAGUGUUUAUAGCCUCUUGCCUAUGCAGUCGGAGAGAUUGAGGUCUGCAGCGUAGAUCCUUCGGGGCUAAAUGCAUUUGUGCUAAGUUAUAGCAUUUUAUAGACAACUUGUUGACUAUGAUUUGUCUUGUAGCUUACUCGCUUAUGUUAUUUUACCUACGCUUAGGAUGUUGAAGAUGUAGCACAUCAU